CGGCGCGCGCGUCACGGAGCCCGGCCUGGCUGACGGGGCCGCUGACGCGCUUGGCCGCCGGGCCGAGUCCGCGGGGCUGCUCCCCGGGUGCCGGCGACAAUGGGCUUCUGUGUGUGCAGCUGCCGCCGCCACCAGGGGCCGGGGGAGGGAGGCGGGUGGCCGCUCCCUGACCUCCCUCCCUCCCGGCCACGACCCCCUGAAAGAAAGUGGGGGAUCUAUCCCGCCCCGGGCAGCCACUUUGUGCGCCCCGGGGAGCGGGACCCACACCGGGCGCGCCCAGCUGGGGACGCAGUGACGGAGGGGCCGGCAGCGCCGGGCAGCUGCCGGGAACCGGGAAAGCUUGCUCUGGAGCCCCUCGCACGUGGCAGGCAGGCCGAGAACUCGUAGUGCCUUCUAGGAAAUUGCAAUCGGUUUUGUAAUGCACUUUUGCUAAUUGGGAGUUCAAAAUUAAACUUUAAUAAAGCA
rnacentral:lncRNA from 1 species